ensembl:misc_RNA Metazoa_SRP Metazoan signal recognition particle RNA
GCUGGGCGUGGUGGUGCACACCUGUAAUCCCAGCUACUUGGGAGGCGGAGGCUGGAGAAUCACUUGAACCCAGGAGGUGGAGGUUGCAGUGAGCCGAGAUUGUGCCACUGCACUCCAGCCUGGGUGACAGAGUAAGACCCUGUCUCAA